rnacentral:lncRNA from 1 species
UUCCAGUCAGCAACAAGUGGUCCAUAUCCUACUCCUGCUGCCUCUACCAAGGGUGACAUAUCGGCCUCUACAGCUGCUGACCAAGCAUAUUUAUCUGUGGCUACUGCAGAUGCAAAAUCUAAUGGCGUUGCUAAUAGUGGGAGCAUAAAGAAAAAUAAUUGCUUGAAUGUUUCCAAACCUAAAUAUCCAAAUUCGUCGUAUGGUUUUAAUGGCAUGUAUAGACGGGGUGGCUUUCCUGGAGGAAUUUCUGCUUCUGGUUAUCAAGACCCAAUAUUUUUAUUCAAUGAUUCACGGUCACCAAUUCCAUGGUUGGAUGGGUCCUUCAUGUCAGAUUGGCAGCCCAGGCUUGUAACUGGCUCUUCUAUGACUUCCUCCAUAUCAAAUGGAAAUGGCCUUCCCUCAUCAUGGAAUCAGAAUUUCCGCCCUCAUCUUAUGGGUUUGCACCACCCGAGGCCAAUGUCUGAUUCUUGGAUCUUUUUGUUCUUGGCUCCUUGUUCAAUGUUUUCCUUAAUCUUCAAGAUGGACUAUUAUUGAUCUCCAUAGUCCAUCUUGAGGGGGGUGUGUUAGAAUAUAUGUUCCAGUAUAUUCAAAAAUUAGUUAAUUUGUUGAUUGGUUAGUUACAAGUUAGUUUAGUUAGUUAGUUGCUAGAUGUUAGUUAGCCACCCACACUUUGUCUAUAAAUACAAAACUUUGUAUACCUUUUAGUUCAUUGGAUUGUUGUAUUCCAAUCCCUCCUUUCAUAAAGGUUUAUCUUUCUCCUUUGAUGGAGUGUCAUCUUCCUCUGAUGGAGUGUUAUUUUCCUCCAUUCAUGGAGUUAUGGAGUUUAAUAC